rnacentral:misc_RNA from 1 species
AAAUGCGAUACGCAAUGCGAAUUGCAGAAUUCCGCGAGUCAUCAGAUCUUUGAACGCAGCCGGCGCCGGAGGGCUAUCCCUCCAGCAUGUUUGUUUCAGUGUGUUUGGUUGACUUCACACAACUCAAUGCGAUUGAGGCUUUGUAAAAGGUCUCUCUCGUGAAAAAGGAGUGCUUGCGGCCACGCCCGCCAGCGAAGUGGUCACUGUUCACCAGUGAUUUCGUUGGAGCACCGAGCGCGACCAAUAAUAAACAAGUACUUUUUAAAACUAAAACUCUUCAAUCAGCACCUGAAAUCAAGCAAGAUCACCCGCUGAACUUAAGC